GGUUGUGACUCAGUGGUAGAGCACUUGCCUAGCAUGCAUGAGGCACUCUUACUCGGUUCGAUCCCCAGCGCCA
rnacentral:tRNA from 1 species